GACGGAGGAUGCAAGCGUUAUCCGGAAUUAUUGGGCGUAAAGUGUGCGCAGGCGGCCGCGCAAGUCGAGUGUGAAAGCCCCGAGCUUAACUUGGGAAUUGCGCUCGAAACUACGUGGCUGGAGUGUGGCAGAGGAAGGUGGAAUUCCACGUGUAGCGGUGAAAUGCGUAGAGAUGUGGAGGAACACCAAUGGCGAAGGCAGCCUUCUGGGCCAACACUGACGCUCAUGCACGAAAGCGUGGGGAGCAAACAGG
rnacentral:rRNA from 1 species